UUUGGUGACGAUAGCAAAGAGGUCACACCCGUUCCCAUGCCGAACACGGAAGUUAAGCUCUUUAGCGCCGAUGGUAGUUGGGGGUCUCCCCCUGUGAGAGUAGGACGUUGCCAAGC
rnacentral:rRNA from 1 species